AAGUGUUAUGAUGGUAUCAUCACCGAUAUGGCUCGUCGCUAUUCCGAUCCUUGACGAUUCUUCUGUUGCUCUGUAAGUCGUGGUUUUGCUGUUCUGUGAGUCGUCACCUCGUUGCCGCUGGAAAGACUCAACGCCAUUUUGCAGCCUUGACGAUUCGAAGGAAGUCUGCGCUCUCUGAUUGUCAAAAUUGAUUCAGGUGAUAUCUUUUUCUAGUUUUGGAGGAUAUUUUGAUCAUGGGUUCUUGUAUUUUUGGAAUUCUUGAAGAAAUUGUGCAGUUCUAUGAGAUUUGCUAUGAUGUGAUUAUAUAGAGUAAUGUUCAUAGAUUGCUGUUGAAGAAAUAAUGGUGAAAGUUGUAUAUUAAAGAAAGUGUUAUUCUUUUUUGGUGUUUUAGGAAAGUGUCAAUCUUUCUUGGUGAUUUAGAUAAGUGUCAAACUUUCUUGGUAAAGAGUUUUAAUCUCUUCGAGUAAUGCAGUUGUUUCGAUUGAAAAGAGUGUUAAUUUCUUUUUGAUCAUCACGUAUUGCUAUUUUUGUAUCUGUGUUUUGAUUAAAGAUGACUACUCUGACUAUUAAAGUAGAAAAUUUGUUCGAGAUGCUUACUAUAAAAUUGAAGAUGAUAAUUUCACCAAAUGGGCGUUUUAGUUUAAGGCUGUGUUAAAGGGUUACAAAUUGUUUGGUCACUUUGAUGGCACUGAUGUGUGUCCACCAAGAUUUGUGAUAAAUACGGAUCUUGGAGUUACUGAGGAGGUUACUGGGGCUUAUAUUGAUUGGGAGUCGACUGACAUGGCUUUAUUAAGUCUUUUGCUUGCAACUCUAUCAGAUGAGACUAUGGAAUAUGUUAUUGGGUGCAGCAAAUGAGGUCAUACAGCAGCAAAUUGUUUUCACAGAAACACCAAUACUUUUUCUACUGGUUGAUGGUCGAAUGCCAAAUUUGUGGGAAGAGAGGUCAUGUUGACCUUGAUUGUUAUCAGAGAAGCAAUUAUGCAUAUCAAAGUCAAUCUCCUCCAUCUUCAAUAACUACAAUGAAUGCCCAAUAGUCAUCUCAAUUCAUGCCCAUUGAUUCAUGGAUAGUCAAUUAUGGUGCUUCUCACCACAUGACAGCUGAUGUCAAUGCCUUGGCACAGGUUGCUCCAUAUGAAGGAAAGGAAAAGAUCACUAUUGCAUAAGAAGACAAAGGAGAUUAUGUAUCAAGGAAAGAGUAGGCCUACGGAGUUGUUUCAAAUCCCAGUUUUUCACAGUGCUAAAGGUGUGCAGUCUACAGUUGCAAAUCCAACAGUUUUCCUUGGUCAAGUGGUGAAGUCAAGUGUGUGGCAUCAAAGGUUGGGUCACCCUACAAAUGAAGUUCUUACUUGUAUGCUAAAACAAUGUAGUAUAUCGUAUAAUACAAACAAUAAGAGUAGUGUACUACCCUUAAAAAUUUUAAAUAUAUGAUUAUGUGGAAUUUUUUUUGAAAGUGAAA